rnacentral:rRNA from 1 species
UACGGGGGGAGCAAGCGUUGUUCGGAUUUACUGGGCGUAAAGGGCGCGUAGGCGGCGUGACAAGUCACUUGUGAAAUCUCCGGGCUUAACUCGGAACGGUCAAGUGAUACUGUCGUGCUAGAGUACAGAAGGGGCAACUGGAAUUCUCAGUGUAGCGGUGAAAUGCGUAGAUAUCAGGAGGAACACCGGUGGCGAAGGCGGGUCUCUGGGCCGAUACUGACGCUGAGGAGCGAAAGCGUGGGGAGCGAACAGG